rnacentral:rRNA from 1 species
UCGGGAGGGCGCUUACCACUUUGUGAUUCAUGACUGGGGUGAAGUCGUAACAAGGUAACCGUAGGGGAACCUGCGGUUGGAUCACCUCCUUACCUAAAGA